GCCCAUGUAGCUCAGAUAGGUAGAGCAACUCCAUGGUAAGGAGUAGGUCCGCGGUUCAAAUCCGCGCGUGGGCUCCA
rnacentral:tRNA from 1 species